UAGGGAAUCUUCCGCAAUGGACGCAAGUCUGACGGAGCAACGCCGCGUGAGUGAAGAAGGAUUUCGGUUCGUAAAACUCUGUUGUUAGAGAAGAACAGCGCAUAGAGUAACUGUUAUGCGUGUGACGGUAUCUAAUCAGAAAGCCACGGCUAACUACGUGCCAGCAGCCGCGGUAAUACGUAGGUGGCAAGCGUUGUCCGGAUUUAUUGGGCGUAAAGCGAGCGCAGGCGGUCAAUUAAGUCUGAUGUGAAAGCCCCCGGCUCAACCGGGGAGGGUCAUUGGAAACUGGUUGACUUGAGUGCAGAAGAGGAGAGUGGAAUUCCAUGUGUAGCGGUGAAAUGCGUAGAUAUAUGGAGGAACACCAGUGGCGAAGGCGACUCUCUGGUCUGUAACUGACGCUGAGGCUCGAAAGCGUGGGUAGCAAACAGG
rnacentral:rRNA from 1 species